UUUGCUUGAAAGCCACCAGUUCUAUGAUCUAAAAGGUAAUGCAGCAUUGGUACCAAAUUAGUUCUGCCCACUGCGGUGCACCUCUCAGCCCGGAAGCCAGCGCCACGGGGACGCUGGACAGGCGCUGCGUGCUGUCCUCCACGCACAAAGCUAGCAGCCCCAUUUGCAACUUUGCUAACUUAGCUGGCUCCCGCCCAGCCGGCCCCCGAAGCACAGUCACCGUGAAAACGUUUUGGUACCAGAAAACCAUUUCCACGACAGUGCGAGUGUUCGAAAGCACAAAGGCAGACACUGGCGACCGCGCUAGCUAGGAAGUUUCGGCACUCGGGGAGGCUGGGCGGAGCACGCGGCCAGGCAAACCUGGAAUGCUACUGAUUCUGAGAAGCCAAGGACACCAAGGAUCCUCUGUCUUCUGAUGGGAGCUCACACAGUUUUCUGCCUCCCCUUCAGGGACUUCUUGUCCCCUUGUACCACAUCAGUAGACUCCAGGUGCUGUCCAUGCUUUUGGCUCCUGAACCCACAGCUGAGUAGGAUGCCUUAGGGAGCAUCACCAUUCAAGAAGUGGUGCGGGGAAGAACCCAAAAGAAACCCAUGGAUUCUGAGAGUGUUAGAAAUAGACUAUUUUCAUUGUCUGAGGUGUACACUGACCUAACAUUAUGGGAUUAUAAUUUGGUAGUAAAUGCCAUGCAUCUGAGAACAACUAUGGCUGACAUGUCCCGAUAGUACAUAAAACUUUAAACCUGAAUGUUGCUGGGACGUUGCUGCUGAGGAAACGUGGGGCUGCUCCUGGUGGGCACAGCUGGGUUGCCCCAAACCUGAGAACUGCUCACUGCCUGCCCGACCCAGAGCCUAUCAGCCUCUCCCGGAGCUGCUUGCAGGAGCAGACAGAGAGAAAGUCCUCUCAGGAACUGAGAGCGAAGCCGUUGCAGUAUCACAGAGCGAAUGAAACUCCGACAGUAUUUCCAUGGGAGGAGAACAAAUCCUCUGUCGGGCCAGUCUGAGGCAUUGGGUCCCAGUUCUCAGGCCCUCCUUGGAGCUCUCCAGGAGACAGCUUCUUAUUCUUUCCCACUGGCCUUGAAGGUUCUACAUGAUGCUGUGUCCCCUGGGCAUUGCAACCUCGUGUCGUCCUGCUUUCUCCUCACUCAGUGCAUUCCAGCCAUGCUGGUUUUUGUAAGACCGGAGGUACCGGAGGAAGGGAUGGGUCUCACUGGAGGAACCCGACUCGAACUAAGUAAGGAAGAGAACGGCGAAUGUCACUGAAAUGAUUCAAAGGGAGGUCCCCUGCCACAAGUCCUGCCUAGAACAUGCGCCACAGUACUCUCUUCCCAGCAACCCAGCAGGACCAAUCAUCAGUGAUUACGACACCCACACUGGCCAAUUAGUUCUGUUUCCAAUACCCUCAGGGCUCUCCCAGCUCCCCUGA